rnacentral:lncRNA from 1 species
CCCUAACAACACACAACAUUCCAGGAAUGUACUACCAAAGUUCUAUCAAUAUUUGAAUGUCCUGGACAUUUAGGGAACAUUCGGUGAACAUCUGUUUAAAUUAUUCCUGGAAUGUUACCAUAAGACAUUCUGUGAACAUACUACCAAUGUUCCUAUAUUUUAAGUUGCGAAAUAAUACAUACGUGUAACAGAUACAACAUUACUUAUAACAUACCAGACAAACUAAGUGACACUUUAGGCCUACAGUGCAAUAAUAUGUCAAAUUUAAAGAGUUUCCCAAGUUCAAUUAAUACAAUAUUAUAAACAUACAAAUGUAAUAAAAAUUAUUGUUCGCGAAUAUUCAAUUUGGAAUGCGAUUUUGUUAAUAAAAAAAAAUACUUAUAACUUAUGCAAAACCCAAGAGAGGCAUUUAUAUUUAUUUCUUUUGCGUUCAUUUUCAAAUUCGCCGUGCAUAUAUUUUUGUGCAUGGCGCUUGAGAGGGCAUCACGUGACUAAAAACGACCAACCAACGACCUCGCUUCGGCCAUCUUGGCAUCUUCGUCUUGGCCACCUUGCUUUGCCGUGGGUGGGUGGAUCGUUGUUAUUUGUGUAUUAUUAAUAGUAAAUAGUAUUAUUAACAUAGUGAAUAAAAUGGUGUCCUGUUUUUAACGCAGUUGGAGUAGCAGAAACAAAUAAUGUAGAUAAAAAAAUCUGCAGGAAUAACGUUUCAAUUAUGACAGAAGCUCCAAACAAAUGACUGUGAAUGAAAAGCCCUAUUAAAAGCUUUCCAGAAGAUCCUGCGAAGAAGACAUGAAGUAUAGAUCAGAUUUGUUAAUAGAGGAGUAUGUUCAAAACACUUUUUAGAAAAAGAUAUUGACAGAACUUCACUUUCAUCUGUUCGUUUAAGAGACUGUGCUGUUCCAAUAGCUUAUGUCACACAGAAUCAGCUGAGAGAAGUGGUCUACAAAAAACCAGAAAGGAAACGGAAUAUGUGGCUACGAAAAGCAAAAGAAAGGUUUACAAAGCAAAUGUGACACAUUUUUUUAUAAUAUUUAGGAAUGUCAGUAAAUUACAUUAAAAAAUGUAUGUAAAGAUUUUUUGCAAUAAAAAUGUUUAUAUUUAUCAAGGAUGUAUUAUUUGGUAUGGCCACAUAUCGUCAGUGAUAUGACAAUACCUCCUAUCUGUUUUUUUCAAGAGAUUUGUAAGAUAGACUAAAAACUUGUUUCGGCCACCUCCUGUUUUCAUAUAUUUUUUGACUUGUUUUGCAGUAAAUUCAACUAUCUAUUUACUAC